GGGAAUGUAGCUCAGUGGUAGAGCGCUCGCUUUGCAUGUGAUAGGCCCGGGUUCAAUGCCCGGCAUCUCCA
rnacentral:tRNA from 1 species